rnacentral:rRNA from 1 species
GAUGAACGCUGGCGGCGUGCCUAAUACAUGCAAGUCGAGCGAACAGACGAGGAGCUUGCUCCUCUGACGUUAGCGGCGGACGGGUGAGUAACACGUGGAUAACCUACCUAUAAGACUGGGAUAACUUCGGGAAACCGGAGCUAAUACCGGAUAAUAUAUUGAACCGCAUGGUUCAAUAGUGAAAGACGGUUUUGCUGUCACUUAUAGAUGGAUCCGCGCCGCAUUAGCUAGUUGGUAAGGUAACGGCUUACCAAGGCGACGAUGCGUAGCCGACCUGAGAGGGUGAUCGGCCACACUGGAAUUGAGACGCGGUCCAGACUCCUACGGGAGGCAGCAGUAGGGAAUCUUCCGCAAUGGGCGAAAGCCUGACGGAGCAACGCCGCGUGAGUGAUGAAGGUCUUCGGAUCGUAAAACUCUGUUAUUAGGGAAGAACAAAUGUGUAAGUAACUAUGCACGUCUUGACGGUACCUAAUCAGAAAGCCACGGCUAACUACGUG